AUGGGCAUCAAUAGCACUUCCUCCUAUGGGGGUACCCCUACGCCACCACCCUGCAACAUAAGCAACACUUUUUUUUGCAGGGACCAAAACUCCAAUGGCACCAAUAGUUUUGCCACAUCAUCAUUUGUUGAAAUUUUCUGGUCAUUCUAUGGCGUAGAUAGCAGCAUAGACGAGGUGAUGCAACAGUGUCACAUACUUGCAGAUUCUAUUGUGUGGUUGAGCAUCAAGAUCUUCACCCUGCUGACAGGUCUCCCAGCCAACGUGGGCCUGCUGUGGCUGUUGAUGAGCAGCAAGAAGGCCCUGUCAGCCUCUAAGGUCUUGGGCCUCAACCUGUCCAUCCUGGACAUCCUCUACUGCCUCUGCCUGCCCAUGGACAUCUACAUUGCCAUGCACCACGAUGCGUCCCAACAGAUGCUCACGGCAGCCGAAGCCCUCUACGCCCUCAACAUCUUCGGAUGUCCUCUCCUGCUGGCCUGCAUGUGUGUGGAGCGCUACCUGGCGGCAGCCCACCCCAUGACCUACAUACGGCUGGGGAAGUGGCAGUACCGCGCCGGGGUUUGUGUCCUGGCCUGGCUUCUCACCCUGGUGGUGAUGUUGCUGGCCUACUUCCAGGGGGUAUUCUCCAUGGCUUUGUACUUGGCCCUCACCACUUCAAUCCUGUUCCUGAUCAUGCUGAUGUGUCUGGUGGGCAUUGUGUGGGUGCUGUGCCAGAGUAGGCCUGGAGAGGGCUCCGGAUCUGGGGGCAGCAUGAACCUGAAGAGGAGAGCUCUGAAGAACAUCUUGGCUGUGCUGGUACCCUCCGUGGUGGCCUACACUCCUCUGGUGGCCCUGGUGCCCUUCAUGUCCAUGUGGCACCUGGAGGAGGAGGACCAGGAGGCUAACAGCAUACACUGCCGCAUCCUCCAGCUUCUCCUGGCCUUCCCCAACUUCGGCCUGUUCAUUGGACCCCUGUUCUACCUGGCCCGCAUCAGGCUGCUGCUCCCCUGCUGCAGGAAGGGAAAUAAUAAAGCGCUAGCAGACUCCAAGACACAGGCAGAAUAG
rnacentral:lncRNA from 1 species